ensembl:misc_RNA
UGUGGGGCCGAGGGUCCACUUAUAGCUAUCAGCCGACAGGCAUUUAAUCUACGUUGGAGGUAAACAAAUACGGGUCCAGCUUAGGAGAAAAGGAAAACGUCUUACAGCCAGUGUCUAAACUCCAAACAACGGAAUGUAUCAGUGAGACCUUGCAUAUGGAUACACGUGCAUUUAAAACGGCCCCUCCGG